CCGAGUAUCUCUCCUGGGCUGAGCUUGCCUGGCAGGUCUGCAUCCCGCGUACUCCCUUCCCCUCCUCUCUGGCACACAGGAGCAGGCCCUGACCCGGAUUCGACCCUACAGGUCCCUUCCGAGAACCCUCACCAGGUGUACCAUAACCCUGAGGAUCCAACCUUGCGCACCCUGGACUUCAGAGACCCUCCACGGGUGAAUCCUGACCUGGCAGGUACAUGAAGAAGCUGGACAAAGACAUUGGAUUCCCUGGAGUUGGAGUUACUGCAGACUGUGAGCCUCCUGGCAAUGGAAACCAAACUUUGGACCUCUGAAAAAUCAGGAAGUGGUCUUAAUGGCUGAUGUGCAUCACAGGCUGGGAACCAAUGUCCAAGACUAUGUGGACCGUCUCAAAACACCUAUGUACUUAUAAUGACAGCAAGCAAACGCAGGCAUGAGCCAGUGGCUCACAUGCUGGGCAAAUGCUCUCCCCGGCUUGUUUUUGGAAACAAGUUUCAUUAAGUUAUCCAGCCUGACAUUGAACUCAUUCUGUAGGUCUUUAAUUAAUAAGGAUACUUUAAAUU
ensembl:antisense predicted gene 11789